AGUUAAUGACAAGUGGAUGUUCAAAAGAGAACUGCCAUGACCAUCAAUUUUGCCGACCACUCGGAAAGCAUGACUUCCAAUGUGCAGACAAAGCAAAUUGCGGAGAAGCGCCGUCUAUUGACAACGGUUCCGUGUCAGCACCGGUAACUAUUGAUGGAGCAACCGCAUCUUAUACUUGUGACUUUGGUUUUGAAAAUCUUGGUACCUUCACAACGAGACAAUGUGUUGAAGGAACUUGGUCAAAAGAAUCAAUCACAUGUACAAUAAAAGAAUGCGGACCACUAGCUGAUAUAGCACAUGGAACAGUGUCAGCAGCAUCGACAACACAUGGCAGCACAGCAACUUACUCGUGCCAAUAUGGGUAUGAACGCACCUCGGGAGAUAUAACAAGAAAUUGUGUUGACGGGACAUGGGAUGGCAUUGAAAUGACCUGCACUA